AUUAGCUAGACGGCGGGGUAACGGCCCACCGUGGCGACGAUGGGUAGCCGGCCUGAGAGGGUGGACGGCCACAUUGGAACUGAGACACGGUCCAGACUCCUACGGGAGGCAGCAGCUAAGAAUCUUCCGCAAUGGGCGAAAGCCUGACGGAGCGACGCCGCGUGAACGAAGAAGGCCGUGAGGUUGUAAAGUUCUUUUCGGGAGGGGGAACAACCGUGGCAGGGAAUGGCCGCGGGAUGACGUGAAUCCCGGAAUAAGCCCCGGCUAACUACGUGCCAGCAGCCGCGGUAACACGUAGGGGGCGAGCGUUGUUCGGAAUCAUUGGGCGUAAAGGGCGUGCAGGCGGUCCUGCAAGUCCGGCGUGAAAGACCCCGGCCCAACCGGGGGGACGCGCUGGAAACUGCAGGGCUUGAGUACAGGAGGGGAUGCCGGAAUUCCAGGUGUAGGGGUGAAAUCUGUAGAUAUCUGGAAGAACACCAAUGGCGAAGGCAGGCAUCUGGCCAUGUACUGACGCUGAGACGCGAAGGUGCGGGGAGCAAACAGGUUUAGAUACCCUGGUAGUCCGCACAGUAAAC
rnacentral:rRNA from 1 species